rnacentral:rRNA from 1 species
GAUGAACGCUAGCUACAGGCUUAACACAUGCAAGUCGAGGGACCGGCGCAUGGGUGAGUAACACGUAUCCAACCUGCCCUUUACUCGGGGAUAGCCUUUCGAAAGAAAGAUUAAUACCCGAUGUAAAGGAUGGGGAUGCGUUCCAUUAGGUUGUUGGUGAGGUAACGGCUCACCAAGACUUCGAUGGAUAGGGGUGCUGAGAGGAAGGUCGCACACAUUGGAACUGAGACACGGCCCAAACUCGUACGGGAGGCAGCAGUGAGGAAUGUUGGUCAAUGGGCGUUAGCCUGAACCAGCCAAGUAGCGUGAAGGAUGAAGGCUUAUGGGUCGUAAACUUCUUUUAUAUAAGAAUAUGUAUUAUAUAAAUAAGGAUCGGCUAACUCCAUGCCAGCCGCCGCGGUAAUAC